ACCAAAGAGAGUAGAACUGUUAG
rnacentral:piRNA from 1 species